rnacentral:lncRNA from 1 species
GGUGAACUAGAUUUAUCUGUGCUAUCUGAUUUAAUGGGAAUUCAGGCAUCUUCGACCGGUAUGCAAGAGCAGCCAGUGGAUCCUGGUUUUUGUUCUUGCUAUCAGGAUACUGAGGCUCAGCCUGCUCUUAUUUACCCAAGUAGUGAACUUCAUGCCCAGAAGCCAUUUGUGGAUUUUGUGGGGGAUUUGGCCCGUAGUUCAAAACUUAUCGUUCACCCAGAUGGCCGAGUUUCAUUCAUGGGCACUGGAACUGAGAUGAAGGAUCUACUUUCAGUUGUUGCUGAGUUUUACUUA